UUAUGUUCUAUCCUGUGGCGGUGGCGGUGGAGAUCUCCGUCGUUCUCGGCCUCCGCGGACCAUGUCUGUGUUCACGCUUUCAGGAUGGAGAUGGCUAGCCACAAAUGCGAAUGCCUUGAGUCAAAGUGACUGUCCUCUAUCUGCUGGGACCAUGAGUUUGUCUGACAAACCUUCUUAGAUAUUCCUCUGAUGUGAGGAAGAGGAAAGAGAUUAUGAUGUAAACAUAUAUUUUUUAAGAAAGAGAAAAAGAAUGUCGUUAAUGUAUGACGUCAUAGAAACUGUAAACAAAACUUUUGCCCAAACACAACAAUACAAUAGUUUGCAUGUGUAGAAAGAACGAAAGCCUUUUUUUUAUUCACUGUAGAGAAGAAUUGUUUUUCUCUUGGUUGUUUAUGUAAAUGUGGUCUUAAUGGGUUGAAGUUUAUAUUGUAGCAGGAGUUAGAAUCGAAACCUUACAACCCUGAUGACAUGAGUCAGGCGACGUAGUCUUAUUACUAACCAACCAGCUGGCAGAAACCCGACUCCAAUCGAAUGUUCUGAUAUUUUCCCCCGCAAACGGGUUAUAAAAGCAAGAUCGCGCCUAGAUCAAGCACAGAUGUUGAAAGUGAUCCGCCCGAGAACGCAUAUCCUCACAUCUUGCCGAAAUCCGACGGGAAAGCAGAAGCAACGUCCGAGUGUUCCUUUGCUGGAUCUCAGCCGGGAGUAUAGAGUAUUUCUCGAAUAAUGGACCAACCGACUUUCUCCUGUCCCUCAAGCAACACUAAUCUUUUCUAUUCAUAGUCUAAGUACAACUAAAUUCUUUUUCUAGUGACUUACAUACACCGCUGGCGACGAUUAGAAAAGAAAAAAAAACUUUUGUAUGUAAUGUAAAUAUUGUAAUCGCCUAAAUAUCAAAUAAAUUUCUUUCAACUCUCUGCACGUCAGGUUGUUAUUGGGACAAGAUGCAGCCAACUCAAUGACCCACACACUAAUAAAACCUAAAAUACGUUAGUCAGCGAUGAGUUGAUUGCUGUUAGAGGGAUGAGUACUGGAAGCUUGGAGACAAAAUGCUGGUGUGAUCUGAAAGAAACCGUAUCACCGUACCUUAACCAAGAAAAGAAAUUCAUUUGAAUGGUGACUGCCAAACUUUGCCCCCAUCAGAACUCUACGCCAUCGGGAAACUCUACAAACGGCGAGACAUCGGUACUAAACCGGUCAACAAGGGUGGCAUCGUUGUAGUUCACAAAUAAGACCCACUCCACCAACCCAGCAUAUUACCAAACGACUUCACCAGCCAGUUCCAGACACAAGUGUCCACCACCGUUCACGAAUCCAUCUCUUUUGGUUCGCUUCCCUACUCUGUCAUUAAUCUUUAUUGUAAUUACAUUCUGAACUGCCACCAUAUUACUUUGUCCCCAAAAUUCACAAAGCAGACACUCCCAGCCAUCGUCUCUGCUUCGAAUUGCCCAACCGAACUUCUCCCUGCAUAUCAGAAUAUUAUUAUUCUGCAUCGCUACUUUAACCGCACACAUUAAACACACCAACCACACUUUAAAUCUUUUCCGCCUGGAAUUUCUACACAUCCUCUCGGCUUGUUUAUCGAUCUUACUAUUCGCACCAAAAAAUAGUUUCAAAUUUUGUCCCAAGGCCAGCAAAUUCGAUGGAGGGGCAAAGGGCUCAACAGGGACUUAUUUUAGCGACCCUGAAAAGGACGAAAGGCAAAGAUGACCUCGACGAAUUUGAACUCAGAACAUAAAGACAAGAAAACUGAUGGAGGUAUCGCUAAGCAUUUCGUCCGACCUUGCUAACAAUACUCUCCACUCGAACCCAAAAUGUUGUUGCUGGUGUUGUUGUUGCAGAAGCAGACUUUCUGACUCGUUUCUUUAUGUGAUCACUCAACGUAAAAGAAACAGCAGCCAAAUUUCAAAUCUAUUAUCCUAAAAGCAAGGACACACUGGAUUUAUUCUUUUAUUUGUUUCUGUCAUUUGACUACGGCCAUGCUGGAGCACAAUUACACAGAAUCUUUAAAAAAAAAAGAGAGAGAGAGAAGCUAGUCACGAUUGAAAACGACUUUUAAAAUCGUGUAAGCAUGGCCGCUUCACUAGCCAUGUGCACCAAAGAAGAACGAAGAGCAGUGAUCCGAUUUCUCUGGAAAAGGCAACAAUGCAAGACACAGUGCUUUGCUGACCAGAAAACUGAAGCCCCCAGCAAUUGGCACCAAACGCCGAAACCUAUUGUCGAAGAAAGUUUUGUUGUUGCAUGACAAUGCACGCCCACACACGGCCGCUCAGACCAUUGAAACCAUUAACUAGUUGGGUUUUGAGGUGCUGGAACACCCUGCCUGCAUUUAAUUGAGGAUACCCUACAAGCCACCCAAGGAAAUGAUGAAAAUCCUUCACUCAGCAGACAACGUGCAACAUGUGCCACAUGUUAGAUGUCGAAAUGAUCGCAGAGCAACACGAAAUGAAGUGCUUUGCUCAAGAACACAACGCAACGCCCAGUCUGAGAAUCGAACCCACUAUCUCGCAAUC